rnacentral:lncRNA from 1 species
AUGGUGGGGAACGUCAGGAGAGCCCUCCACGCACCGCCGCUCUGGCUCCUCCUCCUGCCCCCUCCCCACCCCCGGUCACUCUGCCCCCUCCUCCAGCCCCGCCCCGGGCCUGUACUCACCGGCGGAGCUGCUGUCCCCCUCGCUCUCUCCCACAAAGCACUGUGUGGCCUGCAGGGCCAGGUGGGACGUGUCUACGGGAGUCAAAUGGGUGGCAUCAGGGGCGCUGCCCACCUUCCCCCAGCCCCCUUCGCCCUGGGCCGAGGACUCACCAUCGCAGGAGUCGGCCCUGCCUUCCUCCUCCUCCUGCUCCGGCUCCGGUGCGCUGUCAGGCUCGGGCCCUGGGCCCCAGGCUCCCUCCGACCGAGGGGGCAACGGAGACCCGGCGUCCCCAGCGGCAUCUCCGGCUGGAACCCCACAGGCUUGGCCUUCCCGGGACGGGGUCUCCGCAGCAGGAUGAGCCCCCGGUCUCCCCACCGUUCUCCCGCCCUCCUCCUCUCUGGGCCGGCUGUCCCCCGCUGGCCCCGGCCCCUGCCCGCCUGCGGGAGCACCCUCAUCUGCCUCAGGAUCCCUGCCCUGCCCUGGAGGGGCAGGACCAGGGGGGCCGAUCUUCCCCAGGGCCACUGUCGGGACCACGCCCUCCUCCUCCACGUCUGUAUCGUCCUCACCCUCUGCGGCUGCCUGGCUCUUCUCCAAGUAGGUCCCUGUGGCGGAUGCCGCUGGGCCCUUCUUCUCCCCCGCCCCUUCUUCCUCCUCCACAUCUGUAGCUCCGUCCCCCGCCACGGAGGCCUGGAUCUUCUCCAAGGGGGUCCCAGUGGUGGCCACCGCUGGGCCCCUCUCCCCGGCCUCUUCCUCCAUGUCUGUGUCGCUGUCCCCCCCCACGGGGCCCUGGCUCUUCUCCAAGAGCGUCCUGGUGGUGGCGGCCACCGGGCCUCUCUCCUCCUCCACCGCGUCGGUAUCUCUGUUCCCUUCUGUAGAGGCCUGGCUCUUCUCCAAGGGUGUUCCGACGGUGGCUACUGCUGGGCCCCUCUCCUCCCCCGACUCCUCCCCAUCUGUGUCGCUGUCCCCAACCACGGGGGCCUGGCUCUUGUUCAGGGGCAUCCCGGUGGUGGAGGCCGCCAGACUACUCUUCUCCUCCUCCUCAUCCACCUCUGUAUCUCCGUCCCGGGCCCCGGAGGCUUGGCUUGUCCUCAAGGGCGUCCCGGUGGUGGCCGCCGCUGGGCCCCUCUCCUCCUCCCCCUCCACGUCCGUAUCUCUGUGGCCCGCCUCGGGGGCCUGGCUCUUCUCCAAGGGGGUCUCAGUGGCGGCCACCACUGGGCCCCUCUCCCCGGCCUCUACCUCCAUGUCUGUGUCGCUGUCCCCCGCCACGGGGGCCUGGCUCUUCUCCAAGGGCGUCCUGGUGGUGGCGGCCACCGGGCCUCUCUCCUCCUCCACCACGUCGGUAUCUCUCUUCCCUUCUGCAGAGGCCUGGCUCUUCUCCGGCGGUGUACCGGUGGUGGUCGCUGGGCCCCUCCCCUCCCCCGCCUCCUCCUCCAUGUCGGUAUCGCUGUCUCCCACAACUGGGGCGUGGCUCCUCUCCAAGGGAGUCCCAGUGGUGGCCGCUGCUGGAUCCCUCUCCUCAUCUUCCUCCUCCUCGCCUGCUUCUGUAUCUCCGUCCCGGGCCCCGGCGGCCUGGCUUGUCCUCAAGGGUGUCCCGGUGGCGGCCGCCACUGGGCCCCUCUCCUCCGCGUCCCGCCCGUCCUCCUCCUCCUCUUCCCCGACGUCCGUGUCGCUGUCGUCCGCCCCGGGGGCAUGACUCUGCUCCCCCUGGGCCGGGGUUGGGGGGACGCCCUCCCCGUCCACGUCUGUGUCACUGUCGUCUCCGGCCGGGGGGACUCGGCCCCCCGCCACUGCUUCUCCGGGGCUCCCGCCUCGUGCCACCGCUGCCCGGGGGUGCCCCCCUGGAGCCACGGCGGCGCCCCACUCCUCUUCAUCGGUGUCGCUGUCCAGCAGUAA